rnacentral:rRNA from 1 species
UACGUAGGUGGCAAGCGUUAUCCGGAAUUAUUGGGCGUAAAGCGCUCGCAGGCGGUUUCUUAAGUCUGAUGUGAAAGCCCACGGCUCAACCGUGGAGGGUCAUUGGAAACUGGGAGACUUGAGUGCAGAAGAGGAGAGUGGAAUUCCACGUGUAGCGGUGAAAUGCGUUAGAGUAUGGUGAGGAACACCAGUGGCGAAGGCGGCACCCUAGCGUUAGCCUGACGCUCAUGUGCGAAAGCGUGGGGAGCGAACGGG